CGACCGGCGCACCGGGUGAGGUUAACACGUAUGCAACCUGGCCGUCACAGGUGGAUAACCGGAAGAAAUUCCGACUAAUACAGCAUAACACUCCUGAGGGACAUCCUUCGGGAGUCAAAGGAGGCAACUCCGGUGACGGAUGGGCAUGCGGCGCAUUAGGUAGUUGGUAGGGUAACGGCCUACCAAGCCGACGAUGCGUAGGGGUUCUGAGAGGAAGGUCCCCCACAUUGGAACUGAGACACGGUCCAAACUCCUACGGGAGGCAGCAG
rnacentral:rRNA from 1 species